rnacentral:rRNA from 1 species
UACGUAGGGGGCAAGCGUUGUCCGGAUUUAUUGGGCGUAAAGCGCGUGUAGGCGGCCAGGUAGGUCCGCUGUGAAAACCCGAGGCUCAACCUCGGGACGUCGGCGGAAACCAUGUGGCUAGAGUCCGGAAGAGGAGAGUGGAAUUCCCGGUGUAGCGGUGAAAUGCGCAGAUAUCGGGAAGAACACCCGUGGCGAAGGCGGCUCUCUGGGACGGUACUGACGCUGAGACGCGAAAGCGUGGGGAGCGAACAGG